rnacentral:lncRNA from 1 species
GAAAUAGCACCGAAAUUGCACUAAAAUAGCACCGAAUUGCGCCGAAAUUGCGCUGAAAUGGCACCGAAGUGCAGCAGAACCACCCAGAGGCUCCGGACACCUCUGCUUUCCGCGCAUCCCUCCGCUUCCCUCUGCCUCCCUCUGCGGGUCCGGCCGCGCACUGCAGCGCGCCUGCGGGUCCCGCACCCAUCACUGCGGCGAAGGGGCGGCCGUGUCCCACCGCAGCCACCGUUAUCUCCUUCUCUCGGCUAUUAUACUUAAUCAGGAAGGGGAUGGUUUUAAAAAAAUUAAAAAAAAAAAAAACACUUUUCUUUUAUAG